CCUACGGGUGGCAGCAGUCGAGAAUCUUUGACAAUGGGCGCAACCCUGAUGCUGCGACGCCGCGUGGGGGAAUGAAGCUCUUCGGAUUGUAACUCCUUGUAAUGUGGAAGAACAUAAAAAGGAUAGUACCACAAGAGGCACAGCCGGCUAACUCUGUGCAAGCACCCGCAGUAAUAGAGAGGUCUCAAGCGUUGUUCGGAAUCGGGGGGCGUAAGGGGUGCGUAGGCUGGCUCGUAAGUCGUAUGUGAAAGGCGCGGGCUCAACCCACGGACUGCACAUGAUACUGUGGGACUAGAGUAAUGGAGGGGGAGGCGGAAUUCCCGGUGUAGCAGUGAAAUGCGUAGAUAUCGGGAGGAACACUAGUGGCGAAGGCGGGUUGCUGGACAUUAACUGACGGUGAGGCGCGAAGGCGAGGGGAGCAAAAGGGAUUAGAUACCCGAGUAGUC
rnacentral:rRNA from 1 species